CGAUGAUGCAUAGCCCGAGUUGAGAGACUGAUCGGGCCACAUUGGGACUGAGACAUGGGCCCAAAACUCCUACGGGGAGGCAGCAGUAGGGAAUCUUCCACAAUGGACGCAAGUCUGAUGGAGCAACGCCGCGUGAGUGAAGAAGGGUUUCGGCUCGUAAAAGCUCUGUUGUUGGUGAAGAAGGACAGGGGUAGUAACUGACCUUUGUUUGACGGUAAUCAAUUAGAAGUCACGGCUAACUACGUGCCAGCAGCCGCGGUAAU
rnacentral:rRNA from 1 species